AAGUGCGAGCGGAGAGAGGUAGCUUGCUACUGAUCUUAGCGGCGGACGGGUGAGUAAUGCUUAGGAAUCUGCCUAUUAGUGGGGGACAACAUUUCGAAAGGAAUGCUAAUACCGCAUACGUCCUACGGGAGAAAGCAGGGGAUCUUCGGACCUUGCGCUAAUAGAUGAGCCUAAGUCGGAUUAGCUAGUUGGUGGGGUAAAGGCCUACCAAGGCGACGAUCUGUAGCGGGUCUGAGAGGAUGAUCCGCCACACUGGGACUGAGACACGGCCCAGACUCCUACGGGAGGCAGCAGUGGGGAAUAUUGGACAAUGGGCGCAAGCCUGAUCCAGCCAUGCCGCGUGUGUGAAGAAGGCCUUAUGGUUGUAAAGCACUUUAAGCGAGGAGGAGGCUACUUUAGUUAAUACCUAGAGAUAGUGGACGUUACUCGCAGAAUAAGCACCGGCUAACUCUGUGCCAGCAGCCGCGGUAAUACAGAGGGUGCAAGCGUUAAUCGGAUUUACUGGGCGUAAAGCGCGCGUAGGCGGCUAAUUAAGUCAAAUGUGAAAUCCCCGAGCUUAACUUGGGAAUUGCAUUCGAUACUGGUUAGCUAGAGUGUGGGAGAGGAUGGUAGAAUUCCAGGUGUAGCGGUGAAAUGCGUAGAGAUCUGGAGGAAUACCGAUGGCGAAGGCAGCCAUCUGGCCUAACACUGACGCUGAGGUGCGAAAGCAUGGGGGAGCAAACAGGAUUAGAUACCCUGGUAGUCCAUGCCGUAAACGAUGUCUACUAGCCGUUGGGGCCUUUGAGGCUUUAGUGGCGCAGCUAACGCGAUAAGUAGACCGCCUGGGGGAGUACGGUCGCAAGACUAAAAACUCAAAUGAAUUGACGGGGGCCCGCACAAGCGGUGGNAGCAUGUGGUUUAAUUCGAUGCAACGCGAAAGAACCCUUACC
rnacentral:rRNA from 1 species